rnacentral:lncRNA from 1 species
GCAUUAUUCGGAUCCGGUUGCCUGCUCAAAGGCACAGAGAUCCAGAAGUGCUACCCCUCAGGGAACAGCCUUGCCUUGCUCCGGGAAGGUCUGAUGAUGCCUCAGUUCAAGUGAUGCAUGAACCUGCUCCUAUACCAAGCAGAGAAGGGGUAGAAAAUCCUUGUUCUGCUUCCGGAAAGAUGUGUCCAGAAUUUGCUAUGAGGCUAAGCAAAGAAAACCCCUGCCUUGUUCCUGGAAGGAUUGAGGAUGCCUCUAUUCAACUGAUGCAUGAACCUGUUCCUAGAUCAGGCGGAGGAGUAGUAGAAAAUCCUUGUUCCACUUCCAGAAAGAUGUGCCCGGAACAUGCUGUAAGGCUAUGCGAAGAAAAGCCCCGCCUCCCCACUGCAGUAUC